CACUGUAGAAAUAUAUAUAUAUAUAUAUAUAUAUCUUUGUGUAUAUAUAUUUUUCUCUUUUCCUAUAGGAAGGAGGCAAGAAGCCAAGUGGCAGGAUAUAUGCUGACAAAGCUGAAAAGAUGACAAUCUCACAGAAGAAAAUUGGAGACAGCAGAAGUUACAGAGUCCUGUUCAGAAUGAAUUAAAGCAGUUUUGUGGAAUAGCUUGAUUUUCCUGUUACAGUUUUGACCACUCUGAGUUUGACAGCUGAGGGCAGGAGAAGAGGAGCAUCUUGUCUCCCUCCAGCAGAACAGUGAGCCAGAAUGAAAUGUCUGCUUCCUGGUUCUGCACACCUGAAGAUCAGCUUUGAAUUUGUCUACAGUAAACUUUUUUCACCUGAAAGCUAACUGAUUGCCAAGCAACAUACUGUAUUUAACCUAUCCAUAAAGGCUUGCUUUUGGUAUAA
rnacentral:lncRNA from 1 species